rnacentral:rRNA from 1 species
CAGCCGCCGCGGGAAUACGUAGGUGGCAAGCGUUAUCCGGAAUUAUUGGGCGUAAAGCGCGCGUAGGCGGUUUUUUAAGUCUGAUGUGAAAGCCCACGGCUCAACCGUGGAGGGUCAUUGGAAACUGGAAAACUUGAGUGCAGAAGAGGAAAGUGGAAUUCCAUGUGUAGCGGUGAAAUGCGCAGAGAUAUGGAGGAACACCAGUGGCGAAGGCGACUUUCUGGUCUGUAACUGACGCUGAUGUGCGAAAGCGUGGGGAUCAAACAGGAUUAGAUACCCCAGUAGUCCCUGUCUCUUAUAC